rnacentral:ncRNA from 1 species
GACAAAGCUAUGAAUGGACAAUAGUAGUAAGCAUUUCCCUGUUUCAGAAAGUUGGUGGUUGCUGCAAACCAAUACACACUUGCUUAUGAAUUACUUCCAAGAGCUUCCUUUGUGAACAAUAUUUAAAAGGCUGUUUUCUCAAACACUGUAUCUUUUUAGGGAAAAGUAGCAAAGGACGGUAAAACCGUUAUAUUUCUCGAGGUGGAAAGUACAAUUUAUACUUUCAACAAGGGUGGUACCGCGACUUUAAAGUUCGUCCCUUUU